GAUGAACGCUGGCGGCGUGCCUAAUACAUGCAAGUCGAGCGAACAGAUGAGGAGCUUGCUCCUCUGACGUUAGCGGCGGACGGGUGAGUAACACGUGGAUAACCUACCUAUAAGACUGGGAUAACUUCGGGAAACCGGAGCUAAUACCGGAUAAUAUAUUGAACCGCAUGGUUCAAUAGUGAAAGACGGUUUUGCUGUCACUUAUAGAUGGAUCCGCGCCGCAUUAGCUAGUUGGUAAGGUAACGGCUUACCAAGGCGACGAUGCGUAGCCGACCUGAGAGGGUGAUCGGCCACACUGGAACUGAGACACGGUCCAGACUCCUACGGGAGGCAGCAGAAGGGAAUCUUCCGCAGUGGGCGAAAGCCUGACGGAGCAACGCCGCGUGAGUGAUGAAGGUCUUCGGAUCGUAAAACUCUGUUAUUAGGGAAGAACAAAUGUGUAAGUAACUAUGCACGUCUUGACGGUACCUAAUCAGAAAGCCACGGCUAACUACGUG
rnacentral:rRNA from 1 species